AAUGGACGAAAGUCUGAUCCAGCCAUGCCGCGUGAAGGAUGACGGCCUACGGGUUGUAAACUUCUUUUAUGUAGGAAGAACCCCUCCUCGUGAGGAGGGCUGACGGUACUACACGAAUAAGCACCGGCUAACUCCGUGCCAGCAGCCGCGGUAAUACGGAGGGUGCAAGCGUUAUCCGGAUUCAUUGGGUUUAAAGGGUGCGUAGGCGGGAAGCUAAGUCAGUGGUGAAAUCUCUCGGCUCAACCGAGAAACUGCCAUUGAUACUGGUUUUCUUGAAUGCGAUUGAAGUGGGCGGAAUAUGACAUGUAGCGGUGAAAUGCAUAGAUAUGUCAUAGAACACCGAUAGCGAAGGCAGCUCACUAAGUCGUUAUUGACGCUGAGGCACGAAAGCGUGGGGAGCGAACAGGAUU
rnacentral:rRNA from 1 species